GAUGUUUUGCCUUUCCUUUGGGAAUAAAUAAAGUUUGAUGGCGACUUUGUUCUAUGUUCGAGGGUGCGAUGCGUUCGAGUAUAUUUCCGCUAGGUUCAGGUGCAUUUGGGAGUGUUUAGAUGGUCGAAAAGCUGAAUUUUGGAAAAUUUUGCAGUAUGUGUUGACCUAUGAAGAUCAUGUGUCGACCUAUGAAGGUCAUGUGUCGGCCUAUAAAUGUCAUGUACCGACCUAUGAAGGUCAUGAGUCGACACAUGCAAGUGGCACAUGAGUUAGAACGUACAGACUUUAAAAAU
rnacentral:lncRNA from 1 species